UCCGGUUUGUCACCGGCAGUCUCCUUAGAGUUCCCAGCUUGACCUGAUGGCAACUAAGGAUAAGGGUUGCGCUCGUUACGGGACUUAACCCAACAUUUCACAACACGAGCUGACGACAGCCAUGCAGCACCUGUCACUGCGCUCCCGAAGGCACCAAACUAUCUCUAGCUUGUUCGCAGGAUGUCAAGGGGUGGUAAGGUUCUUCGCGUUGCAUCGAAUUAAACCACAUGCUCCACCGCUUGUGCGGGCCCCCGUCAAUUCAUUUGAGUUUUAACCUUGCGGCCGUACUCCCCAGGCGGUCUACUUAGCGCGUUAGCUGCGCCACCAAACGCUCUAAGGCGUCCAACAGCUAGUAGACAUCGUUUACGGCGUGGACUAC
rnacentral:misc_RNA from 1 species